GAUGAACGCUGGCGGCGUGCCUAAUACAUGCAAGUCGAGCGAAUGGAUUAAGAGCUUGCUCUUAUGAAGUUAGCGGCGGACGGGUGAGUAACACGUGGGUAACCUGCCCAUAAGACUGGGAUAACUACGGGAAACCGGAGCUAAUACCGGAUAAUAUCUUGAACUGCAGGGUUCAAAAUUGAAAUGCGGCUUCGGCUGUCACUUAUUGAUUGCACCGGGUAGCAUUAGCUAGUUGGUGAGGUAAAGGCUAACCAAGGCAACGAUGCGUAUACGACCUGAGAGGGUGAUCGGCCACACUGGGACGGAGACACGGCCCAGACUCCUGCGGGAGGCAGCAGUAGGGAAUCUUCCGCAAUGGACGAAAGUCUGACGGAGCAACGCCGCGUGAGUGAUGAAGGCUUUCGGGUCGUAAAACUCUGUUGUUAGGGAAGAACAAGUGCUAGUUGAAUAAGCUGGCACCUUGACGGUACCUAACCAGAAAGCCACGGCUAACUACGUGCCAGCAGCCGCGGUAA
rnacentral:rRNA from 1 species